rnacentral:rRNA from 1 species
UACGUAGGGCGCGAGCGUUGUCCGGAAUUAUUGGGCGUAAAGAGCUCGUAGGCGGUGUGUCGCGUCGGCCGUGAAAACCUGCAGCUUAACUGUGGGCUUGCGGUCGAUACGGGGCAUCACUGGAGUUCGGCAGGGGAGACUGGAAUUCCUGGUGUAGCGGUGAAAUGCGCAGAUAUCAGGAGGAACACCGGUGGCGAAGGCGGGUCUCUGGGCCGAUACUGACGUGGAGGAGCGAAAGCGUGGGGAGCGAACAGG